rnacentral:rRNA from 1 species
GAUGAACGCUGGCGGCGUGCCUAAUACAUGCAAGUCGAGCGAACAGACGAGGAGCUUGCUCCUCUGACGUUAGCGGCGGACGGGUGAGUAACACGUGGAUAACCUACCUAUAAGACUGGGAUAACUUCGGGAAACCGGAGCUAAUACCGGAUAAUAUAUUGAACCGCAUGGUUCAAUAGUGAAAGACGGUUUUGCUGUCACUUAUAGAUGGAUCCGCGCCGCACUAGCUAGUUGGUAAGGUAACGGCUUACCAAGGCGACGAUGCGUAGCCGACCUGAGAGGGUGAUCGGCCACACUGGAACUGAGACACGGUCCAGACUCCUACGGGAGGCAGCAGUAGGGAAUCUUCCACAAUGGGCGAAAGCCUGACGGAGCAACGCCGCGUGAGUGAUGAAGGUCUUCGGAUCGUAAAACUCUGUUAUUAGGGAAGAACAAAUGUGUAAGUAACUAUGCACGUCUUGACGGUACCUAAUCAGAAAGCCACGGCUAACUACGUG